AUGGCAGCAUGAACCAGCAAUUACUGGGAAGAUCUCAGGAAACAGGCUCGACAGCUGGAAAAUGAACUUGACCUGAAACUGGUUUCCUUCAGUAAACUAUGUACAAGUUAUAGUCACAGCAAUGCCAGAGAUGGAAGAUGCAACAGUUCUGACACAACACCCCUUUUGAAUGGAUCAAGCCAGGACAGAAUGUUUGAGACAAUGGCAAUUGAGAUUGAACAACUAUUGGCAAGGCUUACAGGGGUAAAUGAUAAAAUGGCAGAGUAUACCAACAGUGCAGGUGUGCCCUCCUUGAAAGCAGCAUUAAUGCAUACAUUACAGUGACAUAGAGACAGGAUUAUACACAUGAAUUCCAUAAAACCAAAGCAAACUUUAUGGCAAUACAGGAAAGAGAGAAUCUCAUGGGAUCAGUACGAAAAGAUAUUGAGUCAUACAAAAGUGGGUCUGGAGUAAACAACAGAAGAACUGAAUUAUUUUUAAAAGAACAUGACCACCUUCAAAACUCAGAUCGUCUGAUAGAAGAGACAAUAAGCAUUGCUAUGGCAACAAAAGAAAAUAUGACUUUACAGAGAGGAAUGUUGAAGUCAAUUCAGAGCAAAAUGAACACUUUGGCCAAUCGUUUUCCUGCUGUAAACAGCCUGAUCCAGAGGAUCAACCUUAGGAAGCCGCGAGACUCACUCAUCCUUGGUGGUAUUAUUGGUAUCUGUACCAUCCUAUUGCUGCUGUAUGCUUUUCAUUGAUGGGACAUCUCCAGGGACUCUUGACAGCCACCACUUUCAUGCCCUGAUCUGGAACAAGGAAAUGUAGGAGGGAGAAGUUGGCUGUGCUAAUAAUCAGCCUGAUCAGCCAGAUGAAUUCAAGACUGACAGUGAUGAAUUCUGUGAUAUGGUCAGGUUGAGCUAAAGCCACAGUUUUUCUGUAUUAUCUUUUCUAACACAUUCUUCUGGUUUUAGUU